rnacentral:lncRNA from 1 species
GGGGGAAUAACUGACCAGAUAAUCCCCCAGAAUCCAGGACUGAGAAAAAUCCUGCAAAAAAUUGCUGGGUUGAGGGUGAAGAAGUUUCAUCAGUGAGAAUGGUUUACUUAUGCAGGGUGCUCAAAGGACAGCACAGAACAAGUUUUCAGACAAGAAUCGUGCCUCAGGUGAAGCUAUUUGCAAAUUCAAAUUCCUUCCCUGGUAACAGAGUAGCAGCCAUAGUGCAGAA